rnacentral:rRNA from 1 species
GAAGAAGCUUGCUUCUUUGCUGACGAGCGGCGGACGGGUGAGUAAUACUUGGGAACUUGCCUCUAGGCGGGGGACAACCACUGGAAACGGUGGCUAAUACCGCAUAAUGUCUACGGACCAAAGUGGGGGACCUUCGGGCCUCACACCUAGAGAUGGGCCCAAGCGGGAUUAGCUAGUUGGUGAGGUAACGGCUCACCAAGGCGACGAUCCCUAGCUGUUCUGAGAGGAUGAUCAGCCACACUGGGACUGAGACACGGCCCAGACUCCUACGGGAGGCAGCAGUGGGGAAUAUUGGACAAUGGGGGCAACCCUGAUCCAGCCAUGCCGCGUGUGUGAAGAAGGCCUUCGGGUUGUAAAGCACUUUCAGUGGUGAGGAAAGGGUAAUCGUUAAUAGCGGUUACGGUUGACGUUAGCCACAGAAGAAGCACCGGCUAACUCCGUGCCAGCGGCCGCGGUAAUACGGAGGGUGCAAGCGUUAAUCGGAAUUACUGGGCGUAAAGCGUACGUAGGGGGUGUGUUAAGCAAGAUGUGAAAGCCCCGGGCUCAACCUGGGAAUGGCAUUUUGAACUGGCACGCUAGAGUCCUGAAGAGGGUGGUAGAAUUUCCAGUGUAGCGGUGAAAUGCGUAGAUAUUGGAAGGAAUACCGGUGGCGAAGGCGGCCACCUGGUCAGAGACUGACGCUGAGGUACGAAAGCGUGGGGAGCAAACAGGAUUAGAUACCCUGGUAGUCCACGCCGUAAACGAUGUCAACUAGUUGUUCGUGUCUUUAAGACGUGAGUAACGCAGCUGACGCACUAAGUGUGACCGCCUGGGGAGUACGGCCGCAAGGUUAAAACUCAUAUGAAUUGACGGGGGGCCCGCACAAGCGGUGGAGCAUGUGGUUUAAUUCGAUG